rnacentral:misc_RNA from 1 species
UACGUAGGUGGCAAGCGUUGUCCGGAAUUAUUGGGCGUAAAGCGCUCGCAGGCGGUCCUUUAAGUCUGAUGUGAAAGCCCACGGCUCAACCGUGGAGGGUCAUCGGAAACUGGGGGACUUGAGUGCAGAAGAGGAGAGUGGAAUUCCACGUGUAGCGGUGAAAUGCGUAGAGAUGUGCAGGAGCACCAGUGGCGAAGGCGACUCUCUGGUCUGUAACUGACGCUGAGGAGCGAAAGCGUGGGGAGUGAACAGG